GACGAACGCUGGCGGCAUGCUUAACACAUGCAAGUCGAACGGAAAGGCCUCUUUCGGGGGGUACUCGAGUGGCGAACGGGUGAGUAACACGUGAGUAACCUGCCCUUGACUUUGGGAUAACUUCAGGAAACUGGGGCUAAUACCGGAUAGGAGCUCCUGCUGCAUGGUGGGGGUUGGAAAGUUUCGGCGGUUGGGGAUGGACUCGCGGCUUAUCAGCUUGUUGGUGGGGUAGUGGCUUACCAAGGCUUUGACGGGUAGCCGGCCUGAGAGGGUGACCGGCCACAUUGGGACUGAGAUACGGCCCAGACUCCUACGGGAGGCAGCAGUGGGGAAUAUUGCACAAUGGGUGGAAGCCUGAUGCAGCAACGCCGUGUGCGGGAUGACGGCCUUCGGGUUGGAAACCGCUUUCGCUCAUGACGAAGCUUUGUGUGACGGUAGUGGGUAAAGAAGCACCGGCUAACUACGUG
rnacentral:rRNA from 1 species